AAAGAUCAUGUAAUCAGAUGGGGUAUAAGACAAAUUUUAGACUAAUCUUAGGGAUCAAAUUUUUAAACAGUAAUGGAAAAACAGAAAAUGAUCCCAUUGGAAGAUGCACAGCAUUACCUUGUUUUUCUUCCUAGAAACUUCAGAGCAAUCCAUUUGGGAGAAUGGAAACAGUCUGAGUGUCCCAAUCAAGGCAUUUCUCAAUGCAAUACUUCAGGGAUGUCAGUACACUGGCUCAGAGUAAUGGAGUCAGCAGACCCUGGACUGAGACCUCUGAAACUGCACUGAGGUGAGUGUUGGAAUGAUGAGACGCAAGGCUGGCCAAGGACAAGCGUGGACAAUAGUAGAGACAAGAAUGAAAACAGCUCUUGGAAAAUGAAAGACAACUUUAAGUACAAGGAUUGGAAAACAUUGAAGCAAACAAAUCCUGCGCUUACUUUUACAGAAGAUCAACACAAGAUCAAUAGCAGUAAUAAUACCACCAUGUGAUCAUUUGUCCAAACCAAAACCUUCCACAGCAUCCUAAAUAAUUCACCUGUGACUCUCCGUG